rnacentral:rRNA from 1 species
GGAUUAGAUACCCUGGUAGUCCAUGCCGUAAACGUUGGGCACUAGGUGUGGGGGACAUUCCACGUUUUCCGCGCCGUAGCUAACGCAUUAAGUGCCCCGCCUGGGGAGUACGGCCGCAAGGCUAAAACUCAAAGGAAUUGACGGGGGCCCGCACAAGCGGCGGAGCAUGCGGAUUAAUUCGAUGCAACGCGAAGAACCUUACCAAGGCUUGACAUAUACCGGAUCGUUCCAGAGAUGGUUCUUCCCCUUUGGGGUCGGUAUACAGGUGGUGCAUGGUUGUCGUCAGCUCGUGUCG